rnacentral:rRNA from 1 species
CACCGCGGUUAUACGAGGGGCCCAAAUUGAAGCCAUACGGCGUAAAGUGUGAUUAGAGGACACCCUAUACUAAAACCAAACACCCCUUAUGCUGUCAUACGCCAUGGGGGACACGAAGCCCAACAACGAAAGUGGUUUUAAAACCCUUGAACUCACGACAGUUAAGAUA